GGAGGGGUGCCCGAGUGGCUAAAGGGGGCGGACUGUAAAUCCGUUGACUUAGUCUACGAUGGUUCGAAUCCAUCUCCCUCCACCA
rnacentral:tRNA from 1 species